CCAAUAGCGUAUAUUAAAGUUGUUGCAGUUAAAAAGCUCGUAGUUGAAUUUCGGGGUUCUACCGUUGGUCGGGCAAUAGUCUGUACUGGCGUGUAGAAUUUCUACCUUCUGGAGAACCAUCAUGUUAUUUAUUUAGCGUGGGGGGAAACCAGGACCUUUACCUUGAAAAAAUUAGAGUGUUCAAAGCAGGCUUACGUCUGAAUACAUUAGCUUGGAAUAAUAAAAUAGGACGGUGGUCCUGUUUUGUUGGUUUCUGAAUCACCGUAAUGAUUAAUAGGGAUAGUUGGGGGCAUUAGUAUUCAAUUGUCAGAGGUGAAAUUCUUGGAUUUAUUGAAGACUAACUUCUGCGAAAGCAUUUGCCAAGGAUGUUUUCAUUAAUCAAGAACGAAAGUUAGGGGAUCGAAGACGAUCAGAUACCGUCGUAGUCUUAACCAUAAACUAUGCCGACUAGGGAUCGGACGAUGUUAAUUUUUCUUGACUCGUUCGGCGCCUUACG
rnacentral:rRNA from 1 species